rnacentral:sRNA from 1 species
CAGACUUGGCUUCUUUCUCUCCUGCCUCAUCAGAGGCUGGACUCUCCUCAGUUUUCUUUUCCCUGUUUACUGCAGUUCCUGAGGGAGGACCUCAAUUACCAUGACCCAACAGUGAAACACAGCACCUUCCAUGGUGAGGAUAAGCUCAUCAGCGUGGAGGACCUGUGGAAGGCAUGGAAGUCAUCAGAAGUAUACAAUUGGACCGUGGAUGAGGUGGUACAGUGGCUGAUCACAUAUGUGGAGCUGCCUCAGUAUGAGGAGACCUUCCGGAAGCUGCAGCUCAGUGGCCAUGCCAUGCCAAGGCUGGCUGUCACCAACACCACCAUGACAGGGACUGUGCUGAAGAUGACAGACCGGAGUCAUCGGCAGAAGCUGCAGCUGAAGGCCCUGGAUACAGUGCUCUUUGGGCCUCCUCUCUUGACUCGCCAUAAUCACCUCAAGGACUUCAUGCUGGUGG